AUGGAUGGAAGUACAAUUGGGAAUGUUUUAUAAUGAUCUUGGAGACAAAUGGCCCCGUGGAGGCACGACUGUUGAAAGGGGGUAAAAAAUUUAUGCUGUUGAAAGGGGAUAAAAAAAUUAUGUCUCACCUCGUUAUUGAAGGAAUUGAGUUUCGAGCUGCUACAAAUGCAGAGAAAUAGCUUGGUGCAAAAGAAAAUGUGAGAAACCGAAGAAAUGGGAUCUUUUCAAAAUUAAGGAUUUAUGGAUAAUAUAGAAAUAAAUUUUCUGGCCCCCUCUGUUUUGCUUUCCUUUUCUCUUCUUUGAAAUGCAUGUGGAAUGACUGAGAAAAAUGUGGAGUUGCAGCAAAGAAACAAGUGAAAAUUUUUCAGCAAACUGUUAUGUAAAUAUUAUAGGGUUCGAGUUUAAAAUUAAUUGGUGACUUGAUAUUCGAGACAAUAUAGAUACACAAAUGUUGUCCCGAUGAAAUGGAAUAGGGAAUAAACAACAUGACGAUCACAAGUCCAUUGAUUUCAUGAAGACUGAUAAAGGAUCAAGGUUGUACAAUGAAUUUCACAUUGCACAAAAUUUCAUUCAUAAAAAGCAAACUCUCUCUAUACUUGUGCUUCUAAUAAGCACUCAAAACCUAAUUUCCCAAUUCAAUUUCCAUCUUCAUGCUACUGAUCUUCAACAUGUCCCCAAAGACUUCUCUUGCUGCUUAUCUUGUAUCUAAUCAGUAAAUGUGAUUAUCAGAUUAGUUAGUCAUGCAACAAAUGGUGAUGCCAAGAAGCGACCAAGUUCAAGCUGACGCUUAUUUUAUAAAUGCGGAAAAAAAAAAGGAAUGUUUUAUAAUGAUCUUGGAGACAAAUGGCCCCGUGGAGGCACGACUGUUGAAAGGGGGUAAAAAAUUUAUGCUGUUGAAAGGGGAUAAAAAAAUUAUGUCUCACCUCGUUAUUGAAGGAAUUGAGUUUCGAGCUGCUACAAAUGCAGAGAAAUAGCUUGGUGCAAAAGAAAAUGUGAGAAACCGAAGAAAUGGGAUCUUUUCAAAAUUAAGGAUUUAUGGAUAAUAUAGAAAUAAAUUUUCUGGCCCCCUCUGUUUUGCUUUCCUUUUCUCUUCUUUGAAAUGCAUGUGGAAUGACUGAGAAAAAUGUAGAGUUGCAGCACAGAAACAAGUGAAGAUUUUUGAGCAAACUGUUAUGUAAAUAUUAUAGGGUUCGAGUUUAAAAUUAAUUGGUGACUUGAUAUUCAAGACAAUAUAGAUACACAAAUGUUGUCCCG
rnacentral:lncRNA from 1 species